rnacentral:rRNA from 1 species
GACGAACGCUGGCGGCGUGCUUAACACAUGCAAGUCGAACGAUGUGGCAAACGGGUGAGUAACGCGUAAGAAACGUGCCCUUCAGAGGGGGACAACAGUUGGAAACGACUGCUAAUACCGCAUACAGAAGGUGGGUGUUGGGUCUGAGUAGUUAGUUGGCGGGGUAACGGCCCACCAAGGCGAUGAUGAGUAGCCGGGCUGAGAGGAUGGACGGCCACAUUGGGACUGAGAAACGGCCCAGAGUCCUACGGGAGGCAGCCGUGGGGAAUCUUCCGCAAUGGACGAAAGUCUGACGGAGCAACGCCGCGUGAGUGAGGACGGCCUUCGGGUUGUAAAGCUCUGUUAAUCGGGACGCGGUACCGGAAUAGAAAGCCACGGCUAACUACGUGCCAGCAGCCGCGGUAAUUC